UUUUGCUUCUACCAUUUGGGGCCAGGCGCGGUGCUGCUUGACCGCAGCUGCCAUUAAAACAUUCGGCGCUGAAGUUUAUUACUACUAUUAAAUUCGUUGGCCGCUUUUUAUCUUGCCCAAGGCAAUCCAAAACUCCUUACAACCAAAAAAUCCCCCAUGCAAUCCCGUCAAUUUUAAAAAAACAAUAUUUAAAAAACGAGAGUUCAGAGGCGCCGCUAUGUCCUUUUAAAUGUAUUUGUAGGAGGAGUUACUGGUUUGGUUUGUUUGUGUUUUUAUUAUGUACUUUGCUGUUUCAUUCUAUAUUUUAUGCUGGGAACCGCCUUCAAACUUUCGGAUAAAGGGCGAUAUAAAAUAACAACAAGAAGAAGAAUUACCGGUAAUCACUAAAGGAACAUCAGAACAUCAUCUCGGCCGAGCCCGGGUCGUAGAGAAACGCGAGCGAUUGGCUCCAGGCGCGGCCAAUGGGAAUGAAGCAUUUCGCCCGGGACGCGAAGAGGCGGGGCCAAGUCAAAGGGACCAACGAGCGAGGGAGGCCUUCCUGGCGAAUAAAAGGACAGGAAGUGGGGGCGGAUGUGCGUUGCGGGGAGCGCUGGCCUGCUCCUCCCCCCUCCAUCUCUCUCACACAAGUUCCGGCCACUCUCUGGAAGGAGCCCUUCCAAGAAUAAGAGAGGUCGGGCAGGAUGAAUUUGUGGCAGGCCUGGAAGGCCGUGAGUAGCCGGCCCGCCAUGGUGUACUCGUUCGGCGUGUGGACGAUCUUGGGUUCCAUCUACAUUUACACGUAUUCCCGUGUGGCGAAGGAGCAGCAGGAGAAGGAAGAGAGAGAGAAGACCGAGGAGGAGCGGGCGCUCGCGAAUGCAACUGGAUUGAUCAAAUAUUUUUCAGAAGAUGGACGGAGGUCAGUUGUUCUGUUUAGAACAGCAGAGAAAGGCUUUACUUUCGACAUCACGACCACUUAUAAACCAAACUUUGUGCCACUGUCAACUCGCCUGCAUAAUUACAUACAAUCAUAUUUUGAUGAUACUACUAGAUCAGAAAAAUAAAUGAUUCUGAGAAUAAAAACUCUCAAGAUAAUAAAAUGUCAGUAUGUUUUAUAUUUUCUAAACUAACAUGAAACCCAGUCUGAAAUAACAGAUAUGGAAACUGGUAUCAGCAGUUGCUUUGAAAAAUCAAUGGGUUUUAUGGACUGCCUCACUGAAUUUGAGUUUUUUGUGACAUAUUAAAAUUUGAUAUCUAUUGGAA